rnacentral:rRNA from 1 species
AGUGAACGCUGGCGGUAGGCCUAACACAUGCCAGUCGAACGGCAGCACAGUAAGAGCUUGCUCUUACGGGUGGCGAGUGGCGGACGGGUGAGGAAUACAUCGGAAUCUACUUUUUCGUGGGGGAUAACGUAGGGAAACUUACGCUAAUACCGCAUACGACCUACGGGUGAAAGCAGGGGAUCUUCGGACCUUGCGCGAUUGAAUGAGCCGAUGUCGGAUUAGCUAGUUGGCGGGGUAAAGGCCCACCAAGGCGACGAUCCGUAGCUGGUCUGAGAGGAUGAUCAGCCACACUGGAACUGAGACACGGUCCAGACUCCUACGGGAGGCAGCAGUGGGGAAUAGUGGACAAUGGGCGCAAGCCUGAUCCAGCCAUACCGCGUGGGUGAAGAAGGCCUUCGGGUUGUAAAGCCCUUUUGUUGGGAAAGAAAAGCAGCAGGUUAAUACCCCGCUGUUCUGACGGUACCCAAAGAAUAAGCACCGGCUAACUUCGUA